rnacentral:sRNA from 1 species
ACUUCGAAGAUCUUAGAAAAACACCAAA